AGUGAACGCUGGCGGCGUGCUUAACACAUGCAAGUCGAACGAGAACGGAUUAUAGCUUGCUAUAAUUGUCAGCUAAGUGGCGCACGGGUGAGUAAUGUAUAGGUAAUAUGCCUCUUACUAAGGGAUAACAAAUGGAAACGUUUGCUAAUACCUUAUACUCCUUAUUAACAGAAGUUAAUAAGGGAAAGAUUUAUUGGUAAGAGAUUAGCCUGUAUUGUAUCAGUUAGUUGGUAGGGUAAUGGCUUACCAAGACUAUGACACAUAACUGGUUUGAGAGGAUGAUCAGUCACACUGGAACUGAGACACGGUCCAGACUCCUACGGGAGGCAGCAGUGUGGAAUAUUGCACAAUGGACGAAAGUCUGAUGCAGCAACGCCGCGUGGAGGAUGACACAUUUCGGUGCGUAAACUCCUUUUAUAUGAGAAGAUAAUGACGGUAUUAUAUGAAUAAGCACCGGCUAACUCCGUGCCAGCCGCCGCAGUAA
rnacentral:rRNA from 1 species